rnacentral:rRNA from 1 species
GUCCUAGCCGUAAACGAUGGGCACUGGGUAGGGGGAAGCCUAUGCUCUUCCCUGCCGAAGCAAAUGUAUUAAGUGCCCCGCCUGGGGAGUACGCUCGCAAGGGUAAAACUCAAAGGAAUUGACGGGGCUCACACAAGCGGUGGAGCAUGUGGUUCAAUUCGAAGCAACGCGAAAACCUUACCUGGCCUUGACAUCCAUGGAUUAGUCCUUCGAAAGAAGGAGUACUGCUCUUCGGAGCCGGAACAUGGACAGGUGUUGCAUGGCUGUCGU